rnacentral:lncRNA from 1 species
UGUUAGUGUUGUCUUUUAUUAUGUGAAGCCUCUUAAGUGAGCGUCUAAGAAAAAGCCUUAUAGAAAGAGUGCACUGGAUUUAUAAGUGUGUUUAUGUUUUUCUAAGAAUGGGAGCUUCUGUUAACUUAGUUGUUCUGAGUAAGACCGUGGAUUUGGGUGACUGACUAGAGAAUCCAGAAUGACAAGUUCAUUGACCAGGCAUUUUUACUUUUGCAUUAGAAGUUUGUUGAUUAGUUUUUAUUUUUGAAAUGCAAAUACUGAACUUUAAAAAUAUUGUUUAUUUCAUGUAUUGGUCAUUUAAAUAUUUAAUUGGGAGUGGUCAUUAUUAAUUGUUUUAGGAAAGUUUUUUUUUCUUUUACCUAUAUACAUGAGGCUGCCCUGACCUGACAUGUCAUGAUGUCGACUUGC